AUGUCGUGAUGUGGACAUUUCCUAAGCAAAUCAUUAAGGCGCUCCCAUGCCUCAUGAAACAAUUCCCCAUCCCCUUAUGAGAAUUCAUGAAUUGAGGUUCUCAUUGU